GACGAACGCUUGCGACGUGCCUAAGAAAUGCAAGUCGAACGAGGUAGCAAUACCUAGUGGCGAACGGUCGCGUAACACGUGGGCAACCUGCCCCAGAGCGGGGGACAACAAUCCGAAAGGGUUGCUAAUACCGCAUGUGAAGGAGAGUGGCAUCACUUUCUUUUCAAAGCCUUGUGCACUCUGGGAUGGGCCCGCGGCCUAUCAGCUAGUUGGUGGGGUAACGGCCUACCAAGGCAUCGACGGGUAGCUGGUCUGAGAGGACGAUCAGCC
rnacentral:rRNA from 1 species